UACGUAGGUGGCAAGCGUUGUCCGGAUUUACUGGGCGUAAAGAGCGCGCAGGCGGUCGUGCAAAUCGCGUGUGAAAGCCCCCGGCUCAACUGGGGAGGGUCACGCGAUACUGCUCGACUUGAAGGCAGGAGAGGGAAGCGGAAUUCCCGGUGUAGUGGUGAAAUGCGUAGAUAUCGGGAGGAACACCAGUGGCGAAGGCGGCUUCCUGGCCUGUUCUUGACGCUGAGGCGCGAAAGCUAGGGUAGCAAACGGG
rnacentral:rRNA from 1 species